AACGAACGCUGGCGGCGUGCUUAACACAUGCAAGUCGAACGGGUUCAUAAUGAGUAGCAAUACUUGAUAUGAAUUAGUGGCGGACGGGUGUGUAACACGUAGGUAACCUACCCUUGAGCGGGGGACAACCCAGGGAAACUUGGGCUAAUACCCCAUAAGACCACGGGGUGUGAAUCUUGUGGUAAAAGUAGCGAUACGCUCAUGGACGGGCCUGCGGCCUAUCAGGUAGUUGGUGAGGUAACGGCCCACCAAGCCAAAGACGGGUAGCCGGGCUGAGAGGUUGAACGGCCACACUGGAACUGAGACACGGUCCAGACUCCUACGGGAGGCAGCAGUGGGGAAUAUUGCACAAUGGGGGAAACCCUGAUGCAGCGACGCCGCGUGGAGGAUGAAGGUCUUCGGGUUGUAAACUCCUUUUAUUGGGAAAGAUGAUGACGGUACCCAAUGAAUAAGCCACGGCUAACUCUGUGCCAGCAGCCGCGGUAAGACAGAGGUGGCGAGCGUUGUUCGGAAUUACUGGGCUUAAAGGGCGAGUAGGCGGUGGGACAAGUCUGAUGUGGAAUCUUAGGGCUUAACCCUAAAACUGCAU
rnacentral:rRNA from 1 species